rnacentral:lncRNA from 1 species
ACAGGAUUAUACUUAAAAGCGAAUUACAACGUCAGUCAAAACAGAGCAAGAGCUCCUCCCACGAGGGGUUAUGGGCGUUAGAUAUCUAGACAGAAAACAACAAAAGAAUUCCACCCUCCCUUCCAUUUUCUUGUUGUGAAUGCGUUAUUGUUUCAGAGCCUCAGCUUCUACCCUAGACAAUAAUGCAAUUUAUCCUUCUGCAUACAGGACUAGGAGGUGAGUCCAAAGCUAAUUGAGUCCAAAGCUCACUCCUCUGACAUGUCAACAGGUGAGUUUUUCCAAUUAUGGGAGUCACUCAUUUGAGGACAAAGAGAGAAAUUAACCCUUAAGCCUUUCCCAUAUCACAGAUCCCCUGAUUGACUACUAGAUACUGUGGAAUGAACAUGUAAAAGCUGGAGAAUGCUGUAAAAUAGUAU